AGUCGAGGGGUAUAGUCUUCGGAUUUAGAGACCGGCGCACGGGUGCGUAACGCGUAUGCAAUCUGCCUUUCACAGAGGGAUAGCCCAGAGAAAUUUGGAUUAAUACCUCAUAGUAUUACGACCCGGCAUCGGGAUGUAAUUAAAGUCACAACGGUGAAAGAUGAGCAUGCGUCCCAUUAGCUGGUUGGUAAGGUAACGGCUUACCAAGGCAACGAUGGGUAGGGGUCCUGAGAGGGAGAUCCCCCACACUGGUACUGAGACACGGACCAGACUCCUACGGGAGGCAGCAGUGAGGAAUAUUGGACAAUGGGCGCAAGCCUGAUCCAGCCAUGCCGCGUGCAGGAUGACGGUCCUAUGGAUUGUAAACUGCUUUUGUACGAGAAGAAACACUGAUUCGUGAAUCAGCCUGACGGUAUCGUAAGAAUAAGGAUCGGCUAACUCCGUGCCAGCAGCCGCGGUAAUACGGAGGAUCCAAGCGUUAUCCGGAAUCAUUGGGUUUAAAGGGUCCGUAGGCGGUCUUGUAAGUCAGUGGUGAAAGCCCAUCGCUCAACGGUGGAACGGCCAUUGAUACUGCUGGACUUGAAUUAUUAGGAAGUAACUAGAAUAUGUAGUGUAGCGGUGAAAUGCUUAGAGAUUACAUGGAAUACCAAUUGCGAAGGCAGGUUACUACUAAUGGAUUGACGCUGAUGG
rnacentral:rRNA from 1 species